ACGAACGCUGGCGGCGCGCCUAACACAUGCAAGUCGAACGAGAGAUGAGGAGCUUGCUCUUCAAAUCGAGUGGCGAACGGGUGAGUAACACGUGAGGAACCUGCCUCAGAGAAGGGGACAACAGUUGGAAACGACUGCUAAUACCGCAUAAGCCCACAGCUCGGCAUCGAGCAGAGGGAAAAGGAGUGAUCCGCUUUGAGAUGGCCUCGCGUCCGAUUAGCUAGUUGGUGAGGUAAUGGCCCACCAAGGCGACGAUCGGUAGCCGGACUGACAGGUUGAACGGCCACAUUGGGACUGAGACACAGCCCAGACUCCUACGGGAGGCAGCAGUGGGGAAUAUUGCACGAUGGGGGAAACCCUGAUGCAGCGACGCCGCGUGGAGGAAGAAGGUCUUCGGAUUGUAAACUCCUGUUGUUGAGGAAGAUAAUGACGGUACUCAACAAGGAAGUGACGGCUAACUACGUGCCAUCAGCCGCGGUAAAACGUGGGUCACAAGCGUUGUCCGGAAUUACUGGGUGUAAAGGGAGCGCAUGCGGUAGAACAAGUUGGAAGUGAAAUCCAUGGGCUCAACCCAUGAACUGCUUUCAAAACUGUUUUUCUUGAGUAGUGCAGAGGUAGGCGGAAUUCCCCGGUGUAGCGGUGGAAUGCGUAGAUAUCGGGAGGAACACCAGUGGCGAAGGCGGCCUACUGGGCACCAACUGACGCUGAGGCUCGAAAGUGUGGGUAGCGAACAGGAUUAGAUACCCUGGUAGUCCACACCGUAAACGAUGAUUACUAGGUGUUGGAGGAUUGACCCCUUCAGUGCCGCAGUUAACACAAUAAGUAAUCCACCUGGGGAGUACGACCGCAAGGUUGAAACUCAAAGGAAUUGACGGGGGCCCGCACAAGCAGUGGAGUAUGUGGUUUAAUUCGACGCAACGCGAAGAACCUUACCAAGUCUUGACAUCCCUUGACGAACAUAGAAAUAUGUUUUCUCUUCGGAGCAAGGAGACAGGUGGUGCAUGGUUGUCGUCAGCUCGUGUCGUGAGAUGUUGGGUUAAGUCCCGCAACGAGCGCAACCCUUAUGGUCAGUUACUACGCAAGAGGACUCUGGCCAGACUGCCGUUGACAAAACGGAGGAAGGUGGGGAUGACGUCAAAUCAUCAUGCCCUUUAUGACUUGGGCUACACACGUACUACAAUGGCGUUAAACAAAGAGAAGCAAGACCGCGAGGUGGAGCAAAACUCAGAAACAACGUCCCAGUUCGGACUGCAGGCUGCAACUCGCCUGCACGAAGUCGGAAUUGCUAGUAAUCGUGGAUCAGCAUGCCACGGUGAAUACGUUCCCGGGCCUUGUACACGCCGCCCGUCACACCAUGAGAGCCGGGGGGACCCGAAGUCGGUAGUCUAACCGCAAGGAGGACGCCGCCGAAGGUAAAACUGGUGAUUGGGGUGAA
rnacentral:rRNA from 1 species